rnacentral:rRNA from 1 species
UACGGAGGGUGCGAGCGUUGUCCGGAAUCACUGGGCGUAAAGGGCGCGUAGGCGGCAGGCCAAGCGUGCGGUGAAAGUCCGGGGCUCAACUCCGGGAUCUGCGGUGGGUACGGGCAGACUAGAGUGAUGUAGGGGAGACUGGAAUUCCUGGUGUAGCGGUGAAAUGCGCAGAUAUCAGGAGGAACACCGAUGGCGAAGGCAGGUCUCUGGGCCGCAACUGACGCUGAGGAGCGAAAGCAUGGGGAGCGAACAGG